CUUGGGAGUUAAAACGUGUUAAAGUAUCUUCACAAAAAACUUUAAAUAUGAAGUCUCGGAAUCUCUUCGAAUACUGCUUUGGAUCCACAGCUGAAAUAGAAGUGGGGUCGUACUGGAUGGAUUUAUAUGCAUGUUCCAGCCUCUUUGUAAU